CAGUCGCCGCGGUAAUACAGAGGGUGCAAGCGUUAAUCGGAGUUACUGGGCGUAAAGGGCGCGUAGGCGGUUAUAUAAGUGAGAUGUGAAAUCCCUGGGCUUAACCUAGGAACUGCAUCUUAUACUGUAUGGCUAGAGUAUUGUAGAGGGUAGUGGAAUUUCCGGUGUAGCGGUGAAAUGCGUAGAGAUCGGAAGGAACACCAGUGGCGAAGGCGGCUACCUGGACAAAUACUGACGCUGAGGCGCGAAAGCGUGGGGAGCAAACAGGAUUAGAUACCCCUGUAGUCCCUGUCUCUUAUAC
rnacentral:rRNA from 1 species